GACGAACGCUGGCGGCGUGCCUAAUACAUGCAAGUAGAACGCUGAAGAGAGGGGCUUGCUCUUCUUGGAUGAGUUGCGAACGGGUGAGUAACGCGUAGGUAACCUGCCUGGUAGCGGGGGAUAACUAUUGGAAACGAUAGCUAAUACCGCAUAAAAUUGAUUAUUGCAUGAUAAUUAAUUGAAAGAUGCAAUUGCAUCACUACCAGAUGGACCUGCGUUGUAUUAGCUAGUUGGUGAGGUAACGGCUCACCAAGGCGACGAUACAUAGCCGACCUGAGAGGGUGAUCGGCCACACUGGGACUGAGACACGGCCCAGACUCCUACGGGAGGCAGCAGUAGGGAAUCUUCGGCAAUGGGGGGAACCCUGACCGAGCAACGCCGCGUGAGUGAAGAAGGUUUUCGGAUCGUAAAGCUCUGUUGUAAGAGAAGAACGGGUGUGAGAGUGGAAAGUUCACACUGUGACGUAUCUACCAGAAAGGACGCA
rnacentral:rRNA from 1 species